GUCAAACAAAGUUCUCUACUAUGCUUUCCAGUUACUAGUAUAGUGAGGAGAAGGAUACACCACCUGUCUUUUUGCUUCUCCUAGCUCUCUCAUCUAGCUAAGAUCUAAGACUAAAGUGAGGACUUCAGUGAUCUCGUCCUCCUACUUCCAUUAUUGUGUCAUAGAGAGAUAAGAGAUAAGUUGAAGUUGUGACGCAUGUGUGCCAGUACAAGUAAGGAGACAUAUCCUUUACGUUCAACUAUUCACUAUUCUUUGUUGGCCCAUGAUGGCAGUGGUGAUCAUGGUUCAUCACCAGAGGGGGAAAAAUGGCGAGCCUAAACGCGACUUGAAGACAAACAUUGGAGUUGCCACUUAUAACAACAUGUGGGUAUGGAUCGCGUUAACUCACCGCGGUGACCGCAGUUCAUUUUGGAGGGCAUUGGCCUGGGAUUUUCCCACGGUCUUUUUUGUUUUCAUUUGUUAU